AUGUUCUAUCUUGUAGGUGAAGGCAGAGGUGGGAACACAACCAAGAUGGCGGACGGGCAUGAUAACGACAAGAACAUUGAGAUCUGGAAAGUUAAGAAGCUGAUUAAAGGGCUUGAUGCUGCCCGUGGAAAUGGGACAAGCAUGAUAUCGCUGAUCAUGCCACCUCGUGAUCAGGUCUCAAGAGUAACCAAGAUGUUGGGUGAUGAAUAUGGAACUGCCUCAAACAUCAAGAGCAGGGUCAACAGGCAGUCUGUCUUGGCUGCUAUUACCUCUGCUCAGCAAAGGUUGAAGCUGUACAAUCGAGUUCCCCCCAAUGGGUUGGUGCUUUAUACUGGAACCAUCGUGACUGAUGAGGGCAAAGAGAAGAAAGUCACCUUUGACUUUGAGCCAUUCAGGCCAAUUAAUGCUUCCCUGUAUCUCUGUGACAACAAGUUCCACACUGAGGCAUUGAAUGAGCUGCUUGAGUCUGAUGAUAAGUUUGGCUUCAUUGUCAUGGAUGGUAACGGAACACUUUUUGGAACACUGAGUGGCAACACUAGAGAGGUUCUUCACAAGUUCUCUGUUGAUCUCCCAAAGAAGCAUGGACGAGGAGGGCAGUCAGCACUUCGCUUUGCCCGCCUGCGCAUGGAGAAACGCCACAACUAUGUGCGCAAGACAGCUGAGCUUGCUACACAAUUCUUCAUCAACCCUGCCACCAGUCAGCCAAAUGUUUCUGGGCUCAUUCUAGCUGGUUCUGCUGACUUCAAGACUGAACUGAGUCAGUCUGACAUGUUUGAUCAGCGCUUGGCAACCAAGAUACUCAAGGUGGUUGAUGUGUCUUAUGGCGGAGAGAAUGGCUUCAACCAGGCCAUUGAGAUAUCUGCUGAAGUCCUUUCCAAUGUCAAGUUCAUCCAAGAAAAGAAGCUCAUCGGGAAGUACUUUGAGGAGAUAAGCCAAGACACUGGAAAGUAUGUUUUUGGUGUGGAUGACACCAUGGCUGCCCUUGAAAUGGGUGCUGUGGAGACACUGAUUGUGUGGGAAAAUCUUGACAUCAACCGGUAUGUCCUGAAGAAUUCUGCCACUGGAGAAACUUCUGUGAAGCACUUCAACAAGGCACAGGAGGCAGAUCAGAGCAACUUCAAGGAUAAGGCAACAUCUGCAGACCUGGAGGUGGUUGAGAAUACCUCGCUACUGGAGUGGUUUGCCGAAAACUAUCGACAGUUUGGUUGCACACUGGAGUUCAUCACAAACAAGUCGCAGGAAGGAUCUCAGUUCUGCAGGGGCUUUGGUGGGAUAGGAGGGAUCCUUCGCUACCAGGUUGAGGUGAAUGCUUACGAGGACGUGUCUGACGAGGAGUAUGAAGAAGACUUUGAAUAG
rnacentral:rRNA from 1 species